GACGAACGCUGGCGGCGUGCUUAACACAUGCAAGUCGAACGGUGAAGGUGGGAGCUUGCUCCUGCUGGAUCAGUGGCGAACGGGUGAGUAACACGUGAGUAACCUGCCCUUGACUCUGGGAUAAGCGUUGGAAACGACGUCUAAUACCGGAUACGAGCUUCAGCCGCAUGGCUAGGAGUUGGAAAGAUUUUUCGGUCAAGGAUGGACUCGCGGCCUAUCAGCUUGUUGGUGAGGUAAUGGCUCACCAAGGCGACGACGGGUAGCCGGCCUGGGAGGGUGACCGGCCACACUGGGACUGAGACACGGCCCAGACUCCUACGGGAGGCAGCAGUGGGGAAUAUUGCACAAUGGGCGCAAGCCUGAUGCAGCAACGCCGCGUGAGGGACGACGGCCUUCGGGUUGUAAACCUCUUUUAGCAGGGAAGAAGCGCAAGUGACGGUACCUGCAGAAAAAGCACCGGCUAACUACGUGACAGCCGCCGCAGUAA
rnacentral:rRNA from 1 species